GGGUUGUGAGGUUAAGCGACUAAGCGUACACGGUGGAUGCCCUGGCAGUCAGAGGCGAUGAAGGGCGUGCUAAUCUGCGAUAAGCGCCGGUAAGGUGAUAUGAACCGUUAUAACCGGCGAUACCCGAAUGGGGAAACCCAGUGUGAUUCGUCACACUAUCAUUAACUGAAUCCAUAGGUUAAUGAGGCGAACCGGGGGAACUGAAACAUCUAAGUACCCCGAGGAAAAGAAAUCAACCGAGAUUCCCCCAGUAGCGGCGAGCGAACGGGGAGGAGCCCAGAGCCUGAAUCAGCAUGUGUGUUAGUGGAAGCGUCUGGAAAGGCGCGCGAUACAGGGUGACAGCCCCGUACACAAAAGCGCAUGUGCUGUGAGCUCGAUGAGUAGGGCGGGACACGUGGUAUCCUGUCUGAAUAUGGGGGGACCAUCCUCCAAGGCUAAAUACUCCUGACUGACCGAUAGUGAACCAGUACCGUGAGGGAAAGGCGAAAAGAACCCCGGCGAGGGGAGUGAAAAAGAACCUGAAACCGUGUACGUACAAGCAGUGGGAGCACCCUUUGGGGUGUGACUGCGUACCUUUUGUAUAAUGGGUCAGCGACUUAUAUUCUGUAGCAAGGUUAACCGUAUAGGGGAGCCGUAGGGAAACCGAGUCUUAACCGGGCGUUAAGUUGCAGGGUAUAGACCCGAAACCCGGUGAUCUAGCCAUGGGCAGGUUGAAGGUUGGGUAACACUAACUGGAGGACCGAACCGACUAAUGUUGAAAAAUUAGCGGAUGACCUGUGGCUGGGGGUGAAAGGCCAAUCAAACCGGGAGAUAGCUGGUUCUCCCCGAAAGCUAUUUAGGUAGCGCCUCGUGAAUUCAUCUCCGGGGGUAGAGCACUGUUUCGGCUAGGGGGCCAUCCCGGCUUACCAACCCGAUGCAAACUGCGAAUACCGGAGAAUGUUAUCACGGGAGACACACGGCGGGUGCUAACGUCCGUCGUGAAGAGGGAAACAACCCAGACCGCCAGCUAAGGUCCCAAAGUCAUGGUUAAGUGGGAAACGAUGUGGGAAGGCCCAGACAGCCAGGAUGUUGGCUUAGAAGCAGCCAUCAUUUAAAGAAAGCGUAAUAGCUCACUGGUCGAGUCGGCCUGCGCGGAAGAUGUAACGGGGCUAAACCAUGCACCGAAGCUGCGGCAGCGACGCUUAUGCGUUGUUGGGUAGGGGAGCGUUCUGUAAGCCUGUGAAGGUGGCCUGUGAGGGUUGCUGGAGGUAUCAGAAGUGCGAAUGCUGACAUAAGUAACGAUAAAGCGGGUGAAAAGCCCGCUCGCCGGAAGACCAAGGGUUCCUGUCCAACGUUAAUCGGGGCAGGGUGAGUCGACCCCUAAGGCGAGGCCGAAAGGCGUAGUCGAUGGGAAACGGGUUAAUAUUCCCGUACUUGGUGUUACUGCGAAGGGGGGACGGAGAAGGCUAUGUUGGCCGGGCGACGGUUGUCCCGGUUUAAGCGUGUAGG
rnacentral:rRNA from 1 species